CUCCAGCUCCAGGGGAUCAAAUGCUCUCCUCCAGCCUCCAUGAACAUCACCUCAAACAGGUGUGGAACAUGGCAGAAUGCGUUCUCAAACCCUGAGCAUCUCUCCAGCUCCAAGAUGGCUGUUUCUACUGUUACAACCUAGACUGAGGAAUGGGAUUCUCAGCAUGGAGGUGACAGGGAGGUCCACUGGUGUAGCUGCAAGUAUAAAGCAACUUUGUAUAUGAUGAUGGGAACCAACCCCUCCUAAAGGUGAAGAUAAAGAAAAAGACCCAUCUGUGAUA